UUAGUACAGUUCUGUAGAGUUAAAGCUAUUUGCCAGGUGAAUUGGAAUUCAAAAACAAUUGCAUUGAUUGCGUUUUCCACUGCCUUACUUUGCAGUGUGCAUAUCCAGGGUAUUCCCCAGAUGCCUUGAUAUUGAAGAGCAAAAUUGCCAUGUGAAAUGCUUCCAAGGCUAACACCUCUAUGCCCUCCUCACGAACAGAGACAACAUUUCCUGGUGUGCGAGGCCAUUCUUCCCGAAGGAAGAGAGGGCAGAAUGAGGCUUUUUGUGAGGUGCAUCUAAAUCUGCUCAUUUCUUUAAAGUAUCUUUACACUUAGUCAUAAAGCUCUACAUUUGCUAGCUGGUGAAAGGACAUGGUUAUUAUUCCUUUAUUUAUCGCAGCUUAAUCUAUUACCUUUUCUGCAGGCAGCAUACUAAGAAUUUCACUCCUUAUCAUUGUUUCUCAGCACUUAGUUUAGUUUAUUUUUAAUAUAAUUGCAUUGAUCGGUGAUCUUUGUCUCAGAUGAAGCGCUGCUCAGUAGUGAGGUCCUCAGCCCAAGACGCUGUUCUUUGCCUCCAGACGUGAAAGCAAUGGGUCUUUAACCUGGAAAGCAAUCUUAUUGUCCAAGAUGGUCUCUUGGGAACUGUUGAAGUUGUAUGGUAUAUAUAUCAGCUGCUAUAUUUUGUUCUCGACAUGGGAAGAAUUUCCAUUUUGCAGUGCAAAUGGACCUGCCACAACAAUCCAGUGAGGCUGGUAACUCAAGUAGCACUAAAGGAAAGCACAAGUCCUCAUCUGGUAAGAUGACAAUAUUUUCUACAAUUCAGUGUCCAAGAAUCACUUACUGUGGUUUUACUUCAUACAGUGUUUCUGAAAUCAUAC
rnacentral:lncRNA from 1 species